UUUCCCUCAGGAUAGCUGGCACUCGCUUGAGCGAGUCUCAUCUGGUAAAGCGAAUGAUUAGAGGCCUUGGGGCCGAAACGACCUCAACCUAUUCUCAAACUUUAAAUGGGUGAGAUCUCUGGCUUGCUUGAACAUUAUUAUGAAGCCACGAGAUAAUUGAAAUGGAUCAGAGUGCCAAGUGGGCCAAUUUUGGUAAGCAGAACUGGCGCUGUGGGA
rnacentral:rRNA from 1 species